ensembl:lncRNA
AUGAUCGCAGGGAACUGCAUGAGCCUCUCAAACUGCUGUGUCUUUGUGAGAGACCAGAGGACUGGAGCUAAGGGGGAAAACGCCAUCUGCAACUGCCAGCCAUUUACACUGCCUUUUUGGAGCAAGAGGGAGAGAGGAAAAAAUGGUGCAAUUGUCCAAAUGAAAGAAAAGAAAAAUAAUAGUCAACCCUCAUCCUUCUUCUACCAGCUCCCCUCCCUUCUUCAUCAACGGAAGCAUUUAGUGCCAUCUGUGCCCCCGGAGAAAAGAGGAAAAAAGGAAAGGAGUGAGACUCUACAUCCCAAGUGCCAAUGGGGACAAAGAGGCUGCCAGUUGCCACGGACCACCAGAUGCAGGAAGACUGCAAGUCUGAAUGAGGGGUGUGCUUUCAGGAAGCCAUCUUGAUGGAGAAACUGGCUGCUGCUCCCUAAAAUGGCUGUGUUGGCAUGAG